CAGAAAUAAAGACUAAUGCAAAUGGUGUUUUGGAGCUGCGGUCACAUAUAUUAAGAUUGCAGAAUUCCUUUCACACAAGGCACAUAACAUCUUUUGAGAGGUAGUGACAUUUCACAGCUGGGUUGAUAUGAAUUCAAGUUCUUUCUCCUCUGACUUAUUUACUUGCAAAAGAAAAUUCACCAUGGCAAUAAGCCAAAUGGGCAUGUCUCUGUAGUGUGUGAAAUGUGAGCAGCUAUAUCCUAGGCACAAUAUUUCAUCAAUUCUCCUUCCCUUAAGUCUACAUUCCAG